rnacentral:rRNA from 1 species
UGAGGAAUAUUGGUCAAUGGGCGCAAGCCUGAUCCAGCCAUGCCGCGUGUCUGAAGAAGGCCUUCGGGUUGUAAAGGACUUUUGUCAGGGAAGAAAAGGAUAGGGUUAAUACCCCUGUCUGAUGACGGUACCUGAAGAAUAAGCACCGGCUAACUACGUGCCAGCAGCCGCGGUAAUACGUAGGGUGCGAGCGUUAAUCGGAAUUACUGGGCGUAAAGCGGGCGCAGACGGUUACUUAAGCAGGAUGUGAAAUCCCCGGGCUCAACCUGGGAACUGCGUUCUGAACUGGGUGACUAGAGUGUGUCAGAGGGAGGUAGAAUUCCACGUGUAGCAGUGAAAUGCGCAGAGAUGUGGAGGAAUACCGAUGGCGAAGGCAGCCUCCUGGGAUAACACUGACGUUCAUGCCCGAAAGCGUGGGUAGCAAACAGGAUUAGAUACCCUGGUAGUCCACGCCCUAAACGAUGUCGAUUAGCUGUUGGGCAGCUUGACUGCUUAGUAGCGAAGCUAACGCGUGAAAUCGACCGCCUGGGGAGUACGGUCGCAAGAUUA